rnacentral:lncRNA from 1 species
UGUGGCUCCGUUCGUCUGUGCGUCCGUCCGUUCAGGUUAAAGUUUUUGGUCAAGGUAGUUUUUGAUGAAGCUGAAGUCCAAUCAACUUGAAACUUAGUAGACUUGCUUAUGAUAUGAUCUUUCUAAUUUUAAAGCCAAAUUAGACUUUUGACCCCAAUUUCACGGACCACUGAACAUAGAAAAUGAAAGUGGGAGUUUCAGGUUAAAGUUUUUGGUCAAGGUAGUUUUUGGUGAAGCUGAAGUCGAAUCAACUUGAAACUUAGUAAACUUGUUGCUUAUGAUAUAAUCUUUUUAAUUUUGAAGCCAAACUAGACUUUUGACCCCAAUUUCACGGUCCACUAAACAUAGAAAAUGAAAGUGGGAGUUUCAGGUUAAAGUUUUUGGUCAAGGUAGUUUUUGAUAAAAUUGAAGUCCAAUCAACUUGAAACUUAGUACAUAUGUUCCCUAUAGUAUAAUCUUUCUAAUUUUAAUACCAAAUUAGAUUAUUACCCAAUUUCACGGUCCAUGGAACAUGGAAAAGGAUAGUGCGAGUGGGGCAUCCAUGUACUUUGGACACAUUCUUGUUCAAGGAUAUUCUGACAAUGAUAAAUUUAACUUUUCAGUGUUAUUCAAAUUCAAUAUAUACGGUUUCACUAUGUCCAGAGAAUAAUUGAGUACAUAGUCCAUUGUUCUAUUUAAGUGCUAACUUUGCAGUGAAAACUGUUAUCACUUGUGAAGCAUGGUGCUAUCAUAAACUUUUUGUAUAAAGUAAUUUGUUUAAUUACUUGAAGAAAGAUAUUGUUUCAAGUAAGCAACAUAAUUUGUUCUUGAUUUAGAAUUAAUUUCCCUAAUGAAAACAAAUAAAAGUGGCUUUAAUAUUAUUCGUGUCUAUAUUUUUUAAAAUGAUAAUGAGUUUGAUAUGGAAUAAAAGUUCUCCAUUGGUAAGCUCUCUUUUUCUUUUCUUACAUAGAGACUUGCAUAAGAUAAAACCUUUCCCAGAAUGCUAUUAUGGUUGGAGAAAAUGCUCAUCUUCAGUUGUGUUUUGUGCAUGCAUUUUCAUAGAAAACUUAUAUUAGUUAUAACUUAAAAAAAAGUGCAAUAAAGCAAAGAUUUUAUUAACGUCUAUGCAUGUUGUAUAUAAUUUAUUUAUGUAGUUUUAUGUACUUUGUUGAAAUGUAGGAUUGUAUGCAGACUUUGGCAAAUCCAGGAAAUCAUACAUCUAUGAAAAAAUAGUUUUUCUUCAAUUUCAAAAAUUGGUGUCCACGAAAAUAAAAUCCACAGUACUGUAAAUAUAUAAGUUAUUGUGUGUAUUUAUUAUUGUGAUUUUUAUACGACCGCAAAAUUUUUUUUGCGUCGUAUAAUGGUAUCAUGUUGUCUGCGUUGUCGUCUGUAUCUUCGUCUGCAUCAUCGUCCGAAGACACAUUUAGUGUUCGGACAAUAACUUAAGUUAUAGUGAAUGGAUCUCUAUACAUUUUUACCAGAAGGUCAAUACCACUAAAGGAAAGUUGGAAUUGGUUUUGAGGGUUAUGGUCCCAAUAGUUUUGGAAUUAGGGGCCAAAAAAACUGUAUACAGAUAUUGUAUCUUAAAAUUACAAUACACACCCAGGGUGAAUUAUUGGCAUUAAUAAAAGCCUCACAAUGUUUUUCGAUUUUUCAGUAUCAACCAAUUCUUUAAAA